UACGGAGGGUGCAAACGUUGCUCGGAAUUAUUGGGCGUAAAGCGCACGUAGGCGGACUGUUAAGUCGGAUGUGAAAGCCCUCAGCUUAACUGAGGAAGUGCACUCGAAACUGGCAGUCUUGAGUACGGGAGAGGGUCGCGGAAUUCCCGGUGUAGAGGUGAAAUUCGUAGAUAUCGGGAGGAACACCAGUGGCGAAGGCGGCGACCUGGACCGACACUGACGCUGAGGUGCGAAAGCGUGGGGAGCAAACAGG
rnacentral:rRNA from 1 species